GAUGUUCUGGAAGUUCACGAUGGACCAAAUCUUCUGUCACCCUUGCUUGGAUCUUACAAUGGCACACAGGUGCCCCAGUUUCUAUUUAGCAGCAGUAAUUUUAUAUACCUUCUAUUUACAACAGACAAUAGUCGUUCUAAUAAUGGUUUCAAGAUUCAUUAUGAAAGUGUUACAGUGAACACCUAUUCUUGCUUGGAUCCUGGCAUACCUGUACAUGGUCGUCGCUAUGGUCAUGAUUUCUCCAUUGGAUCUACUGUUUCCUUUAGUUGUGAUCCUGGAUACAGGCUGAGCCAUGAAGAGCCCCUUCUGUGUGAGAAAAACCACUGGUGGAGUCAUUCACUUCCAACCUGUGAUGCAUUAUGUGGAGGAGAUGUUAGAGGGCCUAGUGGAACAAUCUUAUCACCCGGUUACCCAGAAUUUUAUCCAAAUUCUCUGAAUUGUACAUGGACUGUUGAUGUAACCCAUG